rnacentral:rRNA from 1 species
AUUGAACGCUGGCGGAAUGCUUUACACAUGCAAGUCGAACGGCAGCACGGGGCAACCUGGUGGCGAGUGGCGAACGGGUGAGUAAUACAUCGGAACGUGCCCAAUCGUGGGGGAUAACGUAGCGAAAGUUACGCUAAUACCGCAUACGAUCUACGGAUGAAAGCGGGGGAUCGCAAGACCUCGCGCGAAUGGAGCGGCCGAUGUCAGAUUAGGUAGUUGGUGGGGUAAAGGCUCACCAAGCCGACGAUCUGUAGCUGGUCUGAGAGGACGACUAGCCACACUGGGACUGAGACACGGCCCAGACUCCUACGGGAGGCAGCAGUGGGGAAUUUUGGACAAUGGGCGCAAGCCUGAUCCAGCCAUUCCGCGUGCAGGAUGAAGGCCUUCGGGUUGUAAAGCACUGUCAGCCGGGAGGAAGGCGAUUUCUUCUAAUAUAAGGAGUCGUUUGACAGUACCGGCAGAGGAAGCCACGGCUAACUCCGUGCCAGCAGCCGCCGCCGUAA